rnacentral:hammerhead_ribozyme from 1 species
AUCCAGUUGACGAGUCCCAGAUAGGAUGAAACGCGUGUCCUGGAU